GAUAGUUGAAGUGGAGGAUGGAGCACGUAUAAAAUUAUACAUGGAGAGAGCUUCCUUUUCAGUGAAAGUCGUUGUCGCACACGAAAACACACCACCUGUUCCUUUCUACCAGAAAAAAGAAGAGAAGAAGAAGACGAAGAAAAAGAAGAGAAACAAAUGAAAUUCCGUAAGCCUCUUUUACUCCCCUCAACAUUCCAACCUCUCCCCCUCUCCCGUUCCAUUUCCUAAAAUCCUAUCUUUCCAUCUUAUCUCUCUCUUACAACAAAUUCAACUUUCUACUGUUAUCUAAGCUCAAAUAGCUACCUAUUUUGUUGAUUUGUUUUCAGAGUUGAUGAUCGGAUAAUAAAGAGAGAAGAAGCAAAUGAUGAUGGCGGAGAAGCAGUGGAGGAGAUAACUCGUGCUAGUAGCAGCACUAGUAGUGGUAGAAGAAGAAAGAAAGAUUAUAUGGGAGGUUGUUGCUGUGGUUCCUCUAAAGGAGCUGCUCAAUCUAAUAGCGCACCGCCUUAUUAUUAUUACCCCAGAGCACCAGCAGAGCAUGUCCCAUUGUCAUCUCACCAUGAAACUGGGUCUGCUCUAUCCACAGGACUUCUGGUUGAUACAAACCUGGACACAUCAGUUCCUGAUGCUUAUAGACCACCUCCUGCACCUAUGCCAUUUGAUGUGGCAGUAGGUCGUCUUCAAACCCCGCAUAGGUCGAGAGAGACUUGUGGUGACAAGAAUGAUGGAGCUUUGCAAACAACAAAUUCUGCAUCUGGACAAGAAAACACUGGCUUGAAUACUCGGGAAACUUCAGCUGAGUGUGAAGAUGUGAAGGGGUUAGACUGCAAGGCACAAAUCAAUUCAGAACUUGAUGCGGCGAAGGAGCUAGAAAUUGAGGUUUCAAAGUCAGUUGAGCCUCUUGUUUCAGCAGCAGAGGAGGAGGAUUGUCCUAUCUGUCUGGAAGAGUAUGAUUUAGAGAAUCCAAAACUUAUCACAAAAUGCGAGCAUCACUUCCAUCUUUCAUGCAUUCUUGAAUGGAUGGAAAGAAGUGAGAGUUGUCCUGUUUGUGACAAGGAAGUGAUAAUCGACCCUCCUAUUGAUUAGUAGCUGUGCAGAAAACAUGUUGAAGAUCAACUUCUUAGCUGUUUGAAAUCAUGUUUGUGAAGCAAAAGUUACAAAUGCAUGAGAGUUUGGAGGUUUUUUUCUGGGCCCACAAUCUGGUGCUUGCCACAGAUUUGGCUGUAGCUAUUUUUUUUCCUUCUUCUUUUUUAAGAGCCAGUGCCUACUUCAAUGCUUGUUGUUAUGUGUCCUCACUUCAUCAAAGCUUCAGAUUUUUCAAGGAAAUGAGAAACAAAAAAAAAUAAAAAAAUUGGGGUGGUGGGGAAGAAGAUGAGAAGAGAGGAUAGAGGCUGGUCCUACAUCAUCAUGGAUGUCCAUUAAUUAGUCGUUAUAACAGAACAGCAGGUGGGCGUUUUCUUUCCUUCUCUUUGUCCUAGUAUAGCUUUACUGCAAUUCAUACCCUGAAAUACUCCUACCAUUGCUUUCUUUCUCCUUCAACUUUUUAAAUUGUUAUGUAAAUCUUAUAUGGUUGUUUUGUCUAAAAUUCACCUGUUUGUGAGUUUGAUUGGUAGUGGGGGAUUGAUUGAUGCAAGGAAAGUUUGGGAAGGAUCAAAAGAAGGGCUUUUUGUUUAGAUAAUUCAUGGUGAAAUCUAUAUUUAACUUCACGUGCAUUCAUCGGCUGGUUUGAGAUUAGCAACUGGAUUUGCUAGAGGUAAUCGACACCGGAACUUGUGAUGAUGGUCCAGGUCAAUCAUGGGUACAGGUAGCGUGCCUUCUAAUAACCCAAAUGUCUUGACUCAUUUUACUUUUUUGUUGUGCCCCCUGAAGAAAGAUAAUACUUGCCCUUUAGAAAAUUGCAGUUAGGUUACUUCAGCUUAAUUUUGUUUACUCAUCAAUUGGUUGUGAAUGUGACCAUUAUUUUAACUUGUUGAUAGUAUUUACUCUAUGCAAGUCCUAGAUAUUGAAUUAUGCCUUUUAUCUCGUUUAGAAUCACCUAGGCCACCUUUCUGUUGAAACUCAUUAUGCUUUCUUUUUAAUCAAGAAGAAACGGAAAGUUUACUUUA